rnacentral:rRNA from 1 species
UCCCUGUACCCGAAACCGACACAGGUGGGGUGGUAGAGAAUACCGAGGGGCGCGAGGUAACUCUCUCUAAGGAACUCGGCAAAAUGGCCCCGUAACUUCGGGAGAAGGGGUGCCACCGCAAGGUGGUCGCAGUGAAGAGGCCCAGGCGACUGUUUACCAAAAACACAGGUCUCCGCUAAGUCGCAAGACGAUGUAUGGGGGCUGACGCCUGCCCAGUGCCGGAAGGUUAAGGAAGCUGGUCAGCGCAAGCGAAGCUAGCGACUGAAGCCCCGGUGAACGGCGGCCGUAACUAUAACGGUCCUAAGGUAGCGAAAUUCCUUGUCGGGUAAGUUCCGACCCGCACGAAGGGCGUAACGAUCUGGGCGCUGUCUCGGAGAGAGGCUCGGCGAAAUAGAAUUGUCUGUGAAGAUGCGGACUACGUGCACCCGGACAGAAAGACCCUAUGAAGCUUUACUGUAGCUUGGUAUUGUGCCCGGGCUCUGAAUGCGCAGGAUAGGUGGGAGGCUUUGAUCCAUGGCUUGCGGGUCAUGGUGAGCCAACGGUGAGAUACCACUCUUUCAGAGCUAGGGUUCUAACGGUCACCCGUCAUCCGGGGACCGGACAGUAUCAGGUGGGCAGUUUGACUGGGGCGGUCGCCUCCUAAAAGGUAACGGAGGCGCGCAAAGGUUUGCUCAGGCUGGUUGGAAAUCAGCCGACGAGUGCAAAAGCAGAAGCAAGCUUGACUGUGAGACCUACAAGUCGAACAGGGACGAAAGUCGGCUUUAGUGAUCCGACGGUUCUGAGUGGAAGGGCCGUCGCUCAACGGAUAAAAGUUACUCUAGGAUAACAGGCUGAUCUCCCCCAAGAGUUCACAUCGACGGGGAGGUUUGGCACCUCGAUGUCGGCUCAUCGCAACCUGGGGCUGAAGUCGGUCCCAAGGGUUGGGCUGUUCGCCCAUUAAAGCGGUACGCGAGCUGGGUUCAGAACGUCGUGAGACAGUUCGGUCCAUAUCCGGUGCACGCGCAGGAACAUUGAGAGGAUUUCUCCCUAGUACGAGAGGACCGGGAGGAACGCACCUCUGGUGUGCCAGUUAUCGUGCCAACGGUAAACGCUGGGUAGCCAUGUGCGGAGUGGAUAACCGCUGAAAGCAUCUAAGUGGGAAGCCCACCUCAAGAUGAGUGUUCCCAUGGCAUAAGCCAGUAAGGUCACGGGAAGAACACCCGUUGAUAGGCUCUACGUGGAAGCCGGGUAACCGGUGAAGCGGAGGAGUACUAAUAGACC